GCCAGGUGUGGUGGCAUGCACCUGUAAUCCCAGCUACUUGGGAGGCUGAGGCAGGAGAAUCGCUUGAACCCAGGAGGCGGAGGUGCAGUGAGCCAAGAUCGCGCCACCGUACUCCAGCCUGGGUGACAGAGCAAGAUCCUGUCUCAA
ensembl:misc_RNA Metazoa_SRP Metazoan signal recognition particle RNA